UUGGUGCUUGCACCGAGCGGAUGAGUUGCGAACGGGUGAGUAACGCGUAGGUAACCUGCCUCUUAGCGGGGGAUAACUAUUGGAAACGAUAGCUAAUACCGCAUAAAAGACGAUAUCGCAUGAUAUUGAUUUGAAAGGUGCAAAUGCAUCACUAAGAGAUGGACCUGCGUUGUAUUAGCUAGUUGGUGAGGUAACGGCUCACCAAGGCGACGAUACAUAGCCGACCUGAGAGGGUGAUCGGCCACACUGGGACUGAGACACGGCCCAGACUCCUACGGGAGGCAGCAGUAGGGAAUCUUCGGCAAUGGGGGCAACCCUGACCGAGCAACGCCGCGUGAGUGAAGAAGGUUUUCGGAUCGUAAAGCUCUGUUGUAAGAGAAGAACGAGUGUGAGAGUGGAAAGUUCACACUGUGACGGUAACUUACCAGAAAGGGACGGCUAACUACGUGCCAGCAGCCGCGGUAAUACGUAGGUCCCGAGCGUUAUCCGGAUUUAUUGGGCGUAAAGCGAGCGCAGGCGGUUAGAUAAGUCUGAAGUUAAAGGCUGUGGCUUAACCAUAGUACGCUUUGGAAACUGUUUAACUUGAGUGCAGAAGGGGAGAGUGGAAUUCCAUGUGUAGCGGUGAAAUGCGUAGAUAUAUGGAGGAACA
rnacentral:rRNA from 1 species